rnacentral:lncRNA from 1 species
UUGUUCUAACCCUGUUGCUUCCUUUGCUUCGCCUGGAACUACCUUGCUAACACCUUCUUACUUACAGUCUUGCUGAGCUUAGGAAGUGAAGUUGUAGGGAUGAAAAGCCUAUAUUUAACUUACAAACAAAGGCUGAAAGCUGGUGUUUGCCAGUCACAAGAGAGCAUUAGUGCUUCCCGUUAGUCUUACGAGGAGGAGAAGCACGUAAUGGGAACGAGGAGCUUCAGGUUGGUACAUUGCACGCAUUAAAACCUUAACUCUUAUAACCUGUCUUUCCUUGUUAUCCCUUGCUUUUAGCUCG